AGAGAAAUAGCUCAGUGGUAGAAUACAUGCUUAGCAUGCCUGAGGUCCUGGGUUCAAUCCCCAUUACCUCUG
rnacentral:tRNA from 1 species